UACGAAGGGGGCUAGCGUUGCUCGGAAUGACUGGGCGUAAAGGGCGCGUAGGCGGACGGCUUUGUCGGGCGUGAAAUUCCAGGGCUUAACCUUGGGGCUGCGUUCGAGACGGGUUGUCUAGAGUUUGGAAGAGGGUCGUGGAAUUCCCAGUGUAGAUGUGAAAUUCGUAGAUAUUGGGAAGAACACCGGUGGCGAAGGCGGCGACCUGGUCCUUGACUGACGCUGAGGCGCGAAAGCGUGGGGAGCAAACAGG
rnacentral:rRNA from 1 species